rnacentral:rRNA from 1 species
UACGUAGGGUGCGAGCGUUGUCCGGAAUUAUUGGGCGUAAAGAGCUUGUAGGCGGUUUGUCGCGUCUGCCGUGAAAAUCCGGGGCUCAACCCCGGACUUGCGGUGGGUACGGGCAGACUAGAGUGUGGUUGGGGAGACUGGAAUUCCUGGUGUAGCGGUGAAAUGCGCAGAUAUCAGGAGGAACACCGGUGGCGAAGGCGGGUCUCUGGGCCGAUACUGACGCUGAGGAGCGAAAGCGUGGGGAGCAAACAGG